rnacentral:rRNA from 1 species
GACGAACGCUGGCGGCGUGCUUAACACAUGCAAGUCGAACGGAAAGGCCCUGCUUUUGUGGGGUGCUCGAGUGGCGAACGGGUGAGUAACACGUGAGUAACCUGCCCUUGACUUUGGGAUAACUUCAGGAAACUGGGGCUAAUACCGGAUAGGAGCUCCUGCUGCAUGGUGGGGGUUGGAAAGUUUCGGCGGUUGGGGAUGGACUCGCGGCUUAUCAGCUUGUUGGUGGGGUAGUGGCUUACCAAGGCUUUGCCGGGUAGCCGGCCUGAGAGGGUGACCGGCCACAUUGGGACUGAGAUACGGCCCAGACUCCUACGGGAGGCAGCAGUGGGGAAUAUUGCACAAUGGGCGGAAGCCUGAUGCAGCAACGCCGCGUGCGGGAUGACGGCCUUCGGGUUGUAAACCGCUUUCGCCUGUGACGAGGCGUGAGUGACGGUAAUGGGUAAAGAAGCACCGGCUAACUACGUG